CUGAAUCAGUGUGUGUGUUAGUGGAAGCGUCUGGAAAGGCGCGCGAUACAGGGUGACAGCCCCGUACACAAAAAUGCACAUGCUGUGAGCUCGAUGAGUAGGGCGGGACACGUGGUAUCCUGUCUGAAUAUGGGGGGACCAUCCUCCAAGGCUAAAUACUCCUGACUGACCGAUAGUGAACCAGUACCGUGAGGGAAAGGCGAAAAGAACCCCGGCGAGGGGAGUGAAAAAGAACCUGAAACCGUGUACGUACAAGCAGUGGGAGCACGCUUCGGCGUGUGACUGCGUACCUUUUGUAUAAUGGGUCAGCGACUUAUAUUCUGUAGCAAGGUUAACCGAAUAGGGGAGCCGAAGGGAAACCGAGUCUUAACUGGGCGUUAAGUUGCAGGGUAUAGACCCGAAACCCGGUGAUCUAGCCAUGGGCAGGUUGAAGGUUGGGUAACACUAACUGGAGGACCGAACCGACUAAUGUUGAAAAAUUAGCGGAUGACUUGUGGCUGGGGGUGAAAGGCCAAUCAAACCGGGAGAUAGCUGGUUCUCCCCGAAAGCUAUUUAGGUAGCGCCUCGUGAAUUCAUCUCCGGGGGUAGAGCACUGUUUCGGCAAGGGGGUCAUCCCGACUUACCAACCCGAUGCAAACUGCGAAUACCGGAGAAUGUUAUCACGGGAGACACACGGCGGGUGCUAACGUCCGUCGUGAAGAGGGAAACAACCCAGACCGCCAGCUAAGGUCCCAAAGUCAUGGUUAAGUGGGAAACGAUGUGGGAAGGCCCAGACAGCCAGGAUGUUGGCUUAGAAGCAGCCAUCAUUUAAAGAAAGCGUAAUAGCUCACUGGUCGAGUCGGCCUGCGCGGAAGAUGUAACGGGGCUAAACCAUGCACCGAAGCUGCGGCAGCGACACUAUGUGUUGUUGGGUAGGGGAGCGU
rnacentral:rRNA from 1 species